GACGAACGCUGGCGGCGUGCCUAAUACAUGCAAGUAGAACGCACAGGAUGCACCGUAGUUUACUACACCGUAUUCUGUGAGUUGCGAACGGGUGAGUAACGCGUAGGUAACCUGCCUGGUAGCGGGGGAUAACUAUUGGAAACGAUAGCUAAUACCGCAUAAGAACAUUUACUGCAUGGUAGAUGUUUAAAAGGUGCAAAUGCAUCACUACCAGAUGGACCUGCGUUGUAUUAGCUAGUAGGUGAGGUAACGGCUCACCUAGGCGACGAUACAUAGCCGACCUGAGAGGGUGAUCGGCCACACUGGGACUGAGACACGGCCCAGACUCCUACGGGAGGCAGCAGUAGGGAAUCUUCGGCAAUGGGGGGAACCCUGACCGAGCAACGCCGCGUGAGUGAAGAAGGUUUUCGGAUCGUAAAGCUCUGUUGUUAAGGAAGAACGAGUGUGAGAAGGAAAGUUCAU
rnacentral:rRNA from 1 species